GACGAACGCUGGCGGCGUGCCUAAUACAUGCAAGUAGAACGCACAGUUUAUACCGUAGCUUGCUACACCAUAGACUGUGAGUUGCGAACGGGUGAGUAACGCGUAGGUAACCUGCCUGGUAGCGGGGGAUAACUAUUGGAAACGAUAGCUAAUACCGCAUAAUAUUAAUUAUUGCAUGAUAAUUAAUUGAAAGGUGCAAUUGCACCACUACCAGAUGGACCUGCGUUGUAUUAGCUAGUAGGUGAGGUAACGGCUCACCUAGGCGACGAUACAUAGCCGACCUGAGAGGGUGAUCGGCCACACUGGGACGGAGACACGGCCCAGACUCCUACGGGAGGCAGCGGUAGGGAAUCUUCGGCAAUGGACGAAAGUCUGACCGAGCCACGCCGCGUGAGUGAAGAAGGGUUUCGGAUCGUAAAGCUCUGUUGUAAGAGAAGAACGGGUGUGAGAGUGGAAAGUUCACACUGUGACGGUAUCUUACCAGAAAGGGACGGCUAACUACGUG
rnacentral:rRNA from 1 species